rnacentral:rRNA from 1 species
CCUACGGGUGGCAGCAGUGAGGAAUAUUGGUCAAUGGACGAGAGUCUGAACCAGCCAAGUAGCGUGAAGGAUGACUGCCCUAUGGGUUGUAAACUUCUUUUAUAUGGGAAUAAAACGUUCCACGUGUGGGAUUUUGUAUGUACCAUAUGAAUAAGGAUCGGCUAACUCCGUGCCAGCAGCCGCGGUAAUACGGAGGAUCCGAGCGUUAGCCGGAUUUAUUGGGUUUAAAGGGAGCGUAGGUGGAUUGUUAAGUCAGUUGUGAAAGUUUGCGGCUCAACCGUAAAAUUGCAGUUGAAACUGGCAGUCUUGAGUACAGUAGAGGUGGGCGGAAUUCGUGGUGUAGCGGUGAAAUGCUUAGAUAUCACGAAGAACUCCGAUUGCGAAGGCAGUUCACUGGACUGCAACUGACACUGAGGCUCGAAAGUGUGGGUAUCAAACAGGAUUAGAUACCCCUGUAGUC